GCCAAUGUGGCAUAGUGGUUUGAGUGUUGGACUAGGACUCUGGAGACCAGGGUUUGAAUCCCAGUUUGGCC
rnacentral:tRNA from 1 species